AUGUCGUUUGACAACGGCAAGGACAUGUGGGCUGCACUCGAGGCCAAGUUUGGUGCCUCGAACACCGACAAUGAGUUAUACGUCAUGGAGCAAUUCUAUGACUAUAAGAUGAUUGAUGAGCGCUCUGUUGUACAUCAAGCUCAUGAGAUACAGUCACUCGCUAAGGAACUUGAGUACUUUAAGUGUGUGUUGCCGGACAAAUUUGUUGCCGGGGGCAUCAUUGCCAAGCUUCCACCUUCGUGGAACAGUUUUGCUACUUCCCUAAAACACAAGAGACAGGAGUUUUUUGUUGCGGAUCUCAUUGGUACUCUUGAUGUUGAAGAGAAGGCGAGAGCAAAAGACACACGUGCUCGACUUGCUGAGGGAGCUUCUAGUGCCCACAUGGUGUAG
rnacentral:rRNA from 1 species